GACGAACGCUGGCGGCGUGCUUAACACAUGCAAGUCGAACGGAAAGGCCCUUCUUUUGUGGGGUGCUCGAGUGGCGAACGGGUGAGUAACACGUGAGUAACCUGCCCUUGACUUUGGGAUAACUUCAGGAAACUGGGGCUAAUACCGGAUAGGAGCUCCUGCUGCAUGGUGGGGGUUGGACAGUUUCGGCGGUUGGGGAUGGACUCGCGGCUUAUCAGCUUGUUGGUGGGGUAGUGGCUUACCAAGGCUUUGACGGGUAGCCGGCCUGAGAGGGUGACCGGCCACAUUGGGACUGAGAUACGGCGCAGACUCCUACGGGAGGCAGCAGUGGGGAAUAUUGCACAAUGGGCGGAAGCCUGAUGCAGCAACGCCGCGUGCGGGAUGAAGGCCUUCGGGUUGUAAACCGCUUUCGCCUGUGACGAAGCGGGAGUGACGGUAAUGGGUAAAGAAGCACCGGCUAACUACGUG
rnacentral:rRNA from 1 species